rnacentral:tRNA from 2 species
GCCGGCGUGGCGGAACGGCUAACGCGCCUGCCUCGAGAGCAGGUCCCCUUCGGGGGUUGCAGGUUCGAAUCCUGCCGCCGGCG